rnacentral:rRNA from 1 species
AUUGAACGCUGGCGGCAUGCUUUACACAUGCAAGUCGAACGGUAACAGGCCGCAAGGUGCUGACGAGUGGCGGACGGGUGGGUAAUGCAUCGGAACGUGCCCAGUCGUGGGGGAUAACUACUCGAAAGAGUAGCUAAUACCGCAUACGAUCUAUGGAUGAAAGCGGGGGAGCGUAAGGCCUCGCUCGAUUGGAGCGGCCGAUGUCAGAUUAGGUAGUUGGUGGGGUAAAGGCUUACCAAGCCAACGAUCUGUAGCUGGUCUGAGAGGACGACCAGCCACAGUGGGAGUGAGACACGGCCCAGACACCUGCGGGAGGCAGAAGUGGGGAAUUUUGGACGAUGGGCGCAAGCCUGAUCCAGCAAUGCCGCGUGCAGGAAGAAGGCCUUCGGGUUGUAAACUGCUUUUGUACGGAACGAAACGGCUCUGGUUAAUACCCGGGGCUAAUGACGGUACCGUAAGAAUAAGCACCGGCUAACUACGU